AGACUCAAUGGGUGUGUGAUAUAUUUCACGUAUUGUUUUCUUGUCCUUCUAUAACGUUCUUUAUUAAGAAUACAAACUUAUUAUCAAAUCCGUUGAGAUAACUGGGUCAUGGCGUCCUUGUUUUUAGGGCGGCAGUAUUUAACGAGAUCCGUUUCACUUCAGCUUUGGUGAUUAGAGCAGUUCAUACAUCCUAUAAAAAGGCGACCGACAGAGUCAAAGAAACAGAAUUUAAAAAAAAAUUCGACAGAAUUCAGAAGAUGAGAUUGCUAAUUUCUUGCUUCAGUUUCUUCUUUCUUUUUGCAAAGGAAGGUAUGGGAUACCCAGUUCUGUCCACUGUGAUCUGUGACCCGAUAGAUUUUUUAUUUCUGGUUGAUACGACGACCACCACUGGACAGUCUAACUCUUACAGGUACAUCAAAAGUUUUCUGAAACAGGUCAUCGUUACCCAUCACAGUAGCCCAGUACCACUGGACACCCGAGUUGUGAUCAUCGUAACUAGGGAGAGUUUAUACACGGAGUUCAAAC
rnacentral:sRNA from 1 species